GGAGAUAGCUUAGUUUUAGAGUGCAUGCUUAGCAUGCAUGAGGUUCUGGGUUCAAUCCCCAGCACCUCCA
rnacentral:tRNA from 1 species